GACCAUUUUAUUCAUAACCCACCCACCAUUUAAGACACUUGUUUAUAGCCUCCCAUCUUUGAAAUUUCUCCCUUUAUAUUAUUACAACUUUCUCAGAACUCAUAUCCAAAAGCUCUCUAACUUUCUCAGCAUCCAAACAUGGCCAAGGAAGGAGAAGCUACCCGCAAAACCAUCCCAUUUGAAGAAGGAUGGCCAGUGCUACAAGAUGCAAUCAACAAACUCAUUGACAGUUUGGAAGGAGUUUGUCCCCACACUUACACUCCUGAAGAGUAUAUGACUCUUUACACGUACUACCAUCUUUAAGGGAAAAGAAAGAUGAGGAUUUGUUACAAGAACUAGCAAAAAGAUGGAAUAACACAAGGUUAUGACUCACUGGCUCUCAAGAUUUUUUAAAUUUUUUGAUAGAUACCUCACCGCAAUCAAAAGACUACCCAAACUGCUAGAGACUAGCUUCAUGACCUUCUAUGAACUGGUUGGUAAUGCUACUAAUUAUAUUUUUUUUGACACAGAAUUAAAGGGUUACUUAGACUUAUAUGUGCUUGAAUUAUAAAUUUAAAUAGAAAUUUGAAAAGGAGAAAGAAAAAGAUGAGGGAAAUAUAAGGUUUACGGGGAAAUGAAUGAUCAAGUGAGGGAUGUUGUAAUAUCUAUGGUAUGUUUUGUUUCAUAAUAUUUUGAAAUGAAUGUAAUUGUAUCCUCAUUGUAGUUAACAAGGCUAAUUGUCUUCUUUUUCUUUUCUUUUUUUCUUCUCCCCCUUACACCUCACCAAAUUUAGCCUUCAUGAUUGCCUUUUUUUUGUCCCUCACGACUUUGUCUUUCACCUAACUAAUUCUCCCAAUACAUGUAACCCGUCUAUCUCACAUAUAUCAGGUAAUUAUCGGAUCUAAGUCUUGGGAUGACCUCAAGGAAACGUGGAGAAUGAAACUUUUAACCAUUAGUCUACCUUGAUGUUUGAAUCUCUAACUUUUCAUAUAAGAGUCGCAAGUCUCAGUACAAUUUAAAUCCUUACUUUUUACUUGAUUUUGGUUGGGAAGGUUCACUUACCCAUCCUUUAAGUUGUAUUUAAAUUUUAAAUUUGAUUAGAAAUUUUGUAAAGGAAAAAGAAAAAAAGGGACAAAAAAAAAGAAUUUCAUUUACAAAUUCAAAAUUCAAACAUCACCACCACCACCACCCAUUGAAAAAGAGUUUAACAAAGUAAAUGGUUUGGCGAGAUUGAUUUGUCAAUGUCAUACCUUAUUCAAUCCGGUUGAUUAAUACUAUUUAUUAAAUGGUUGUUGGAUUAAAUUAUCUUAAUAUAUAAACAGUUUUGACCCAUCCAUGUGAUAUCUUUCGGAUUGAUCAAGAGCGCGAAGGACAGAUUGAUCAAGCAUUAGUGAAGAAUGUUUUGGACAUCUACACAGAGAUGGAAGAGGGCUCUAUUGAACACACAAUUGUUCCUGAGCUUCCAAAUUGACUACAAAACAACAAAUGUUAAGGCAUUCCAUAUUUGGAGUUCCUUCUUCCUGAUUCUAGUGCCAAUCCACCAAUCAAAUAAAUCCACCACAGAGCCUGGGCAUACCCAGUAUAAACCCCACAGAGUUUCUUGUUACUUGCAACACACAAGCCAACAUAAGUUGUUGGAGGUCUUUGCAGCUUCAAAACCUUGUGCAAAAAUUACUAUUAUAAUUUUUUUUUCCUUUUUAUUCUCUAAAUCACAUGAGAAUGGAAUUUAAGAACUUGUUUAUUAGAAAAUCCUAUUCUUUCAAAAGUUUUACACAUAAUUAUAAUUAUCUAUUAAAAUGAUACGACAACAAUAUUUUUAUAAUUGACACAUUUUGAUGGUUUAUUUUUUUGUUUUUUUUUUUUAAAUGAUGCACCCACAACUUAACAAUAUCAUUCUGUAUAAUAUUUUGUUUGUAAAGGUAACAAUAUACAAAUAAAAUUUAUAUAGACAAUGAUGUGUCGUGUACAUAUAUUCACUCUUUAAAGUAAAGAAAUUCAUCAUUUUAGUUCAUAAUUAUAAAAAUGUCAUUGUCACAUUAUUUUAUACAAAAAAAAAUAAAAAAUUAAAUGUUACCAAUAUAAUUUCAUUGAAAUUUAAUUUGAAGCUGCAUGUUGUUUCUCAUUCUCAAUUCUUGUUUUUUAUCACAGGUUGUAGAACAUGAAUUGCUCUUUGUAUUUGCAGAGAAAAAACAACUUGAUAGUGAGGCUGCAUAAAUUGAUGAGUGGGCCAUCUAUUUCUUUCCUUUUAUUAUUUAUUUAUUUAUUUCUUAUUCCCUUUUUACUUUGAUGGGUGAUAUUGAGAAUUGUUUAUGGCAUUGAAGGACUAAAGUACAAUAAAACCAAAAUUUCUUGAAGCUUUAAAGCACAAAGUGCAAACAACAAUGUAAUAAAUAAAUACACAAUUGUGCAAUUUUAUAUGUAAUUUAUGUCAUUUUAGCUGCGUCUUGAUUUGUAUUAUUUGAUUUAGCUGAUUUUUAGAGUAGGUUUUGUGCGGUGGUAAAGUUGCUAUUAAAAUAAUAUUGUACUCAUGUUCAAAUGUAUUAAAAAUCUAAUAAAUUUUACUAAAUUAUCAUAGUCAUCUUGAGUGAUACAAUUAGCAUAGCAAUUUAACUAAUUUUUACUCUAUUUUAUUUUAUUGAAUCAAUGGGGUUAAUAUUUUAAAUAAUGAGUGUAACAUUUUGAUCAAUUUAAUGUUAAUAAAGAUUAAUAUUUUUUUAAAAAAUUAUUAAUUUUUCGUAUCAUCUUAUAUUUUAUCAUUGUAAUGAAUCUCACUAUUUAUAUCUACUAUUCAUAUAACAAUGACAUGUGUAAUGGACAGAUCUAGAGAGAUAAGGCAUCAUCAUCCUUUCUCUACCUCGACCCUCACCUGUGACGAAGUUUGCCUCUAUCCCCAUCUCCAUCAUCGCUGCCAUCUCCGAUGAUCUUAGAUCGAUCGAGAUCUCAAAUCGAACAUCCAACAACCUGUUAUGGACAGAUCUAGAGAUAAGAGAUCUAGAUAAAUCGGCAGAUCAAUAAAUUGUCGAGCGAAGCAUAACCAGCAUUUGAAAUAGAGGUUUAUACCCCUUCGAACUAGGGUUUGAAUCGACAGAUUUGUGUGUGUAUGUUCUUGAACUAGUGUCCUUCAAGUGCAUUCUUUGUCUUCAUGUGAGAUUUUACGUCACAUUUUCGUAUUGAUCAAUUUUCUCUUUGUAUGGUGAUACUUUCUAUUGCAUUUGUUGUUUGUUGA